ensembl:lincRNA
CUUUUCCGUUUUCUCUGAUCUCGGUGGCAGGGAUUUUCAGCAAAUGCCCUAACCCUCUCUGUAGGGGGCCCACGCUCACCAUUCCCAGGGUGAGUUCAUCUCUGUGUAACCCGUCUUUACCAUUCCUGGAGUGACUGGAUGUGUGAUCUAUCCUCACCAUUCCUGGGAGUGAUCUCAUCUAUGUGUGAUGCGUCUUCACCAUUCCUGGGGUAACCUCAUCCACGUGAGGGUAACUUCAUCUAUAUGUGACCUACCCUCCAUUCCUGGGGUGACCUCAUCUGUGUGGUACACGAUGUGAUUAUUUUUAAAAAGACAAAGAGGGAUGAUUUCUUCACCCCAUCUAUGUGGGCUCCAUCCUUGAGAUUCCUGGGGUGACUGGGUGUGUGAAGGUCUGGCUCCACCCCACCCCACCCCCACUCCAGACCUCUUGGACCAGCCAACCAUAUUAUCAGGGAUCAUGACUAAUGACAUUUGACCUUGCAUCCCAGUUGGAGAGCAUUCAUGCCUUACCUUCAUCCUUCAUCAAACAGCUCAAGCCAGUUGCUACUAGAGUUGAGGGUCCCUAGAGUGGAGUGGGCAUCUUUUCUCUUUUUAUGCUUGCAAGUAUGGGUAAGUGCCCUGAACUAGUCUCAUGUCAACUUGACACAAGCUAGAGUCAUCUGAAAGGAGGGAAUUUCUAUUGAGGAAAUACCUCCAUGAGAUCCAGUUGCAGAGGAUUUCCUUAAUUAGUGAUUAAUGGGGGAGGGCCCAGCCUAUUGUGUUCUAACCUUAGGCUGAUGGUCCUGGGUUCUAUGAGAAAGCAGGCUGAGCAAGCCAUGAGGAGCAAGCCAGUAAGCAGCACCCCUCCAUGGCCUCUGCAUCAGCUCCAGCCUCUGGCUUCCUGCCCUGUUUGAGCUCCUGUCCUGACUUUCUUCGAUGAUGAACAGUGAUGUGGAAGAUUCUUCGGCCAGGAAAAAAAUAGCAGCGAAGGAGAAAGAGAAAUCCUCCCUGGUAAGCUGGAUUCCUGGAGAUUGUUCAAGAUGUGAACUCCCAGCAUUCUGGUCCACAUGCCUGCCUGCCGGCUGCCUCUUCCCUGCCGUUAUGGAUGCUAACCCUCAGGGACCACAAGGCGACAUAACAACAAGACCUUCUUCCUUAAGUUGCCUUGGUCAUGGUGUGUCUUAUCGCAGCGGCAGAAAAGUACUGAAUACGAGGGACAACCCGACUGUGUGUUUGCGUCCAGCUAUCUCAUAGAUAACGGGCCAGUCUAUGGACUGACUGCCCUUGUGCAUAUAUACCCAUCAGUGUCGGCUCACAGAAGAAUGAGCCACGGUGAACAGUGAAUGCCUUGGGGAACUGUGGGAAAGGCUCCAGGAGAAAAGGCAGGGGUGUCUUGUUUUCUCGAUUGUUCUUGGACGUGAUUUUGUGCUUCCUGUAUUAAACACUGACGUUCAAGUCAUAAGACACGUUCAUUCUUGUUGGAUGUCUGGACACAGCUAUAGAACCCGAUCUGGUCAGUGGACCCUGAAUCUGGAUAUGGCCUCCUGCCUUGCUUUUGUGCUUUUCUAGGUAUAGUCUACAAUAGUUCCAGGUAAUUGUGUUUAAACUGGUCUGUCUUGAGAAAGUUUUGGGAAAGGGCUGCCCUGGUGCUGACUGGUGCUAAUUUGCAUAUUUUUCUGAUCACGUUUUUUUUUCAAAACUCAAACAGCCUUCCUUGGAUCAUUCCUUUCUUUGUUACAUUGUGCAUAAAAGGACACAAGAAACUAAGGUUGUCUACAGCAUCCCACUCUAGUCUGCCUUGUUCUUUCAGGUCUAUGCAAAUUGACACAGGAUUACCUCUCUUCUGUUUAUUUUGGUUUUAUUGUUUGAGAUCCAGUCUCCCGUGGUCCAGGCUGGCCUUGAACUGGAUAUACAGCUAAGGAUGAUCCUCCUGCUCCCACCUCCCAAGAGCUGGGAUUGCAGGUGUGCGCCUCCAUUCCUGGUUUAUUCAGUGCUGGGGUGUCAAUCCAGGAUAACACACUUGCUAGGCAACAUGCAUGCUAGGCAAGAUAUACUGACAGAGCUACGCCCCAGCUCUCUGUAUCCAUUUUUUUUUUUUUUUAAACCAUCUGGAGAAACAAGUUGGGGGAAUAAAUUACAUAGGAAUUUGG